rnacentral:rRNA from 1 species
UACGUAGGUGGCAAGCGUUGUCCGGAUUUACUGGGCGUAAAGAGCGCGCAGGCGGCUGGUCAAGUCCGAUGUGAAAUCUCCCGGCUUAACUGGGAAACUGCAUCGGAAACUGAUCGGCUUGAAGGUGGGAGAGGGUAGUGGAAUUCCCGGUGUAGCGGUGGAAUGCGCAGAUAUCAGGAGGAAUACCCAUAGCGAAGGCAGCUCGCUGGGACGUUACUGACGCUGAGGCGCGAAAGCGUGGGGAGCAAACAGG